rnacentral:lncRNA from 1 species
CAUGAAUGCAGAAAUGAAUGACUCAUCGAAUGCCAGUGUUGCUCAGUCUCUCUUUGAAACACCAAUAUCUGAGCAAACCCAAGCUGGCACUUUGGACUUGGUGGAGUGAUAUCAGCUUUGCCCAGGAGAAAAGCAGCUCAAGAGAAUGGCAGAAGCAACACUGGGCCAGUUAUGGGACUAAUCUUGAAAAGGAAAUGGCAAUUGCCAGCAGUUUCCUGAGACUUGAGCUACCAUGGAAGAAGUCUGCUAUGUAAGAAAGCUGUAUAGAUUCACUGAGAUAACAUGAGAGAGAGACCAGAUGGCCCCGCACUCCCAUUUG